rnacentral:sRNA from 1 species
ACAGCGAAGGCACCAACCGGCAGACAAGUCCCAGGUGGGAGCGAGUAUAAGGAUGCGUCUCCUUUUCUUCCUUCUAGAGGCACUCUGUUUUCUACAGUGGACACUGAUGAAAUACCAGCCAAAAGACCAAGAUUAGAUUGCUUUAUUCACCAAGUGAAAAACAGUCUCUACAAUGCUGCCAGCUUAUUUGGAUUCCCAUUCCAGCUGACCACAAAGCCCAUGGUAACUUCUGCUUGUAAUGGAACACGGAAUGUGGCCCCUUCAGGAGAGGUAUUUUCGAACUCUUCAUCUUGUGAACUGACAGGUUCUGGAUCCUGGAACAACAUGCUGAAACUGGGUAAUAAAUCUCCUAAUGGAAUAAGUGACUAUCCAAAGAUCAGAGUGACAGUAACCCGAGAUCAGCCACGCAGAGUCCUGCCUUCCUUUGGUUUUACUUUGAACUCAGAAGGCUAUAAUAGAAGACCAGGUGGCCGUCGCCAUAGCAAAGGUAAUCCAGAGAGUUCUUUAAUGUGGAAACCUCAGGAACAGGCUGUAACAGAGAUGAUUUCUGAAGAGAGUGGCAAGGGUCUGAGGCGUCCCCAUUGUACUG